GAAAGGAGGAAUCCGGUGGCGGCUGGGCAUGCGGCGCAUUAGCUUGACGGCGGGGUAACGGCCCACCGUGGCGACGAUGCGUAGGGGUUCUGAGAGGAAGGCCCCCCACACUGGAACUGAGACACGGUCCAGACUCCUACGGGAGGCAGCAGUGAGGAAUAUUGGUCAAUGGGCGGAAGCCUGAACCAGCCAAGUCGCGUGAGGGAAUAAGGCCCUACGGGUCGUAAACCUCUUUUGCCGGGGAGCAAGGGCCGGGACGCGUCCCGGCCCGGAGAGUACCCGGAGAAAAAGCAUCGGCUAACUCCGUGCCAGCAGCCGCGGUAAUACGGAGGAUGCGAGCGUUAUCCGGAUUUAUUGGGUUUAAAGGGUGCGUAGGCGGGCUUUUAAGUCAGCGGUAAAAAUUCGGGGCUCAACCCCGUCCGGCCGUUGAAACUGGGGGCCUUGAGUGGGCGAGAAGAAGGCGGAAUGCGUGGUGUAGCGGUGAAAUGCAUAGAUAUCACGCAGAACCCCGAUUGCGAAGGCAGCCUUCCGGCGCCCUACUGACGCUGAGGCACGAAAGUGCGGGGAUCGAACAGGAUUAGAUACCCUGGUAGUCCGCACAGUAAACGAUGGAUGCCAGCUGUCCGGGCCGAAUGGGGCCUGG
rnacentral:rRNA from 1 species